GGAGAGCCGGGUCGAUUGAAACACGGGACGAUUGAAACACAGCGAUUUCCUCGAGAACCACGCAAGGCUUUCACAGACCGCUAACUAAAAUCCUUCCUGCGGUAGUUUUUUUGUAAUAAAUAGUUGUGUUUUUUGUCUCAUGCCAUAAUAAUAUGACUAUACAACAGAUGAAUUAGUACUUAAACCUGUGUUAAAGUGUGCGAUGUCAGAGUUUUGAAGUUUAGAGGUAAAAAAGGUUUAAGUGUCAGUAGUCGCUGUCGGGACGAUUGAAACACUUGUUUCAAACGCAACAGGAGUCAUGUUAUCCGGUUGACGUGGUAGUUUUUGUUUAAAUAAAUAAAAGGAUGUUCAACUGUGUAUCCUUAAACAUGACUUAGGACAGGGUAAUAAGUAAAUUUAAUGCAAAUUUA